CUAUGAGGAAAUCAAUGAUUAUUAAAAGUGCAAGGUGCUUCUACUUUGUCAGGUAAGUGGUCAUGUUGGAGAAUUACCACAUACAAAAAGGUAUAGUGUGGUUGAAUGUAAAGCUGUAUGGAAAAUAGGAGUGAAGUGAGCCACGUCACCUCCAAAAUAUAAACCUUUGGCAUAAAGAACUUAUUCAGCAGAGUCCAGUGAGAAAGGCAAGGCGUGAAAUGGAAUGGAGCAGGCACUAGAUAAUGUAGCUCUUACAAUGUAAUUGGAAUGUGAGUAGAGAUAGUUUCUGAUGCUCUGUGAAGCUAGAACUUACAAAUAUAUUUAUGGAUCUCUAGAGGGAUGCCAUGAAACAUAAUGCAGUUUUUCGGUAUAGUUACUCUUUUGGAAAACUACGAUAUGUGGAACGGAGUUCAU